rnacentral:lncRNA from 1 species
UUCAAAAGCAUCAUUUUAAGCCACUAACAAUGAGACAACUAUUCCUGCACUUGGUUUAGAAAUGGAAGAUGGAAAGAGAGAGAGAGUGAGUGAGAGAGAAUUAGAGUGAGAACAAGAGCGAGGCGAAAGAAAGAGGAGCGGUUAGAAAUUCUGGAGAAUUCUACAGCAGCACUUCCAAUAGAACGCUCUACGAUAAUGGAAGCAUUCUAUCCCGCAUCAUCCAACAGGACCAUCAACUGGCCCCUUGACACACCUGAGAAAUGCUUGUGUUUCACUUUUAUGAAGGUAGCUGACAAUACCCAGGUAACCCCUCGAAGGCUGGGGCUUGCUCUGUCAUCUGUUUGACUUCAGUACUGCUGGUCCUGAUACCCACCACGAGAGUUCCGGUACUGACCCCGACCAUCAAUCUCUAGACUGGAGGCUGUACAGAAACAUGCCCUGAGUCUCUUCCACAGCUCUUGCCACCCUGUGGCUGGGAGUGGGGGAGUCUGGCUACCCAGGAUCCAGCUAAUGUCCACGGUAGAAUGUACUAGCAUUCUUACAUGGAAGGCUGUAUAACACAAGUAGAAGCAAGGUCAAUUCUGCUGGCUAUAAGUAAAUGCUGAUAGACAUCGGGGAAUUUCACUCUCCUUGAAGUUGCACUAUGGAGGAAAAACUGAACAGAGUCAUGAACAGGGGCCUGCCUGUAGAGCUUGCCGUCUGGUCGGGAUUUCCUUGGCUGUUCCUGUUGUCAGACGCAUCUAACCCCAAGGCCUGCCUUUGGGAUCAAUAAUUUUCAAAGCCCUGCUGGGGUCAUGUUGGCUCCAGGCUGCGCUGGCCUAACAUAAAUUACACAGCAAUGUUCCCUGUCUGAGGGAAACAUUAUCUCCAGCUUCCAGGUCUAAGGGAGUAGAUUCAUCAUACGCCUUGCUGAAUGACAUUCUCAUCAGCCAUGGGGCUUAUCUGAGGCCCUACCCUUCCUGCUGCCUCUCCGACUGUGAUAAUCAUCACUUGGAGUCCUGCGUUCGCUUCCGGUUGUCUUAAGCCAUUCCCCCUGGAAUGAGUCUGAAGCCAGUCUUCUGUGAGUGAUACCUCGAAAGGCUGAUCCCCAGAGACCAGCAUCUGUGAAAGAGGGCUAAGCCAAGAUGACUUGCCUGAAUCUGUUGCCAACCGGAUCAAUCCUGACCCCUCAGAAUAUUGAUGCCCAAAUAUUGGCCCCACCUUGAAGCAAAGAAUCAACUAUCUGUACCCUUGAACCAGAGUCAUGAACCACAUCGGAGAGGAGAGAUAAAGCAGUGCCUCCAUGACUGUUCUUCCUGACUCUCCCAUUGGCUCUCUCAGGCUUGCUUCUGGGGUGGAAGUAACUGGAUCAUCAGCUUCAGGAGAUGGUGACAGAAUGGUUUCCACAUUAGCGGUUUUACUAGCUCAGCUGUCCACUAAGGAUGUACAAAAGAACCUUCCGCUCACAUCUGUCCCAUCGUUUCCAGUUCUGUUAACUGAAUGAGCAGAGUGGCCUCCUUGCUCUGGAUGUCCUCAGUCACCCAUCAUCCCUACAAAAAUAUGUUUGUCAGACAUCCGCCCCUCCUCUUGCAUGAUAUGCUUAUAUGAUUAGAUAUGCUCAGACAGCUUGCCCAGUUUCCCCACAGCAUUAUCUGUGUUCUUACUGACCUGCAGGUCUGCAUACAUUCUUUGUUGUAAAGAUUGUGAAUGUUGUGAAUCUCUUCUUAUAACUCAUUUUGCUGUGUUUCUUAAAGAACUAAUGUCCUAGGUUUUAUUCUAGUCACACGCACCAUUAUUGUUAUCAUUAUUCUCCUUUGGCUCUUCAUGCCCUGCUUAAGAAAUCCCUGAAGAAUCUGAAGGAAAAUCUCAAUCUGAGGGGCAGUGGCCAGAAAUGGAGCUAGGUCACAGGGAGAGAAUGUACUGAGAAUAUACUGUUUAGCCGACGUGAGGAUCCAAUCCAUUAAACAGUUACAUGCCAUGAUGUAAAUUAGUACAUUCGUAUUCUGAUUUUAUCAUCGGCCUCAUCUGGGCUCCAAAGUCGUGAGUCAGCAUCCCUGGGUCUAAUCAUCAUGGAAGCCCUGAAUAUCAAGCUUCCGGGGGAGAAACCAAGGAAGUAGAACCAGCCAGAGUGAGAUCACCAAGCACGAGAUAACGGACACACAGAGGGAAAGGAAGCAUUCCUUGGGGCUUCCCUUUGCCAGAGGACUUGAGAGAGAUAGGACAUCUAUUUUUCUGCUUCUUCCCAAACUGCCAGAGCAGGAACUGGCCUCCAACUG